CAACUAGGUUAUAGAUUUGGUUUUGCGGUUUUGGGUUUGCACUUCUCUUCAACUCUUGACUGCUUCUGCGCCUUGCAUCUUUGCCUCUGCCUCUGCAAUCCGCAUCUCUGCCUCUACCUCUGCGACUACGACUGCCUGUUUGCAUCUCUACCUCUGCAAUUGCAACCUCACUGAGUCACUGCUUGCCUUGCAUCCCCAGAUCCCCUUCAUUUGCAAGCCCUAAUCUCUGCAAAUCAAAAGUUCUGCAAAACAGACUUGGCAAAUCAUUCACCUGCUCUUCGUUCCAGCUAAUAUGGCAGGUGGAAGUGGGCAUGAGGCUGCACACGCUGGAUUUCUGGGGAAUGGAAUGCUAACUGCAGCUAUUUGCGGGGAUGUUUUUGCCUCACCACAAGUUGAUUCAAUUCUAGCAGGCAUCCGAGCUGUGACUGGUAUAAUUUGAAGGAGCAUUCUGAAAGACCAUUGCUUGGGUUGUGACUGAUAUAUUUAUCAUCAUAGGGUUUUUGAACUCCUUCAGGUUGUCUUCUUAUUGUGCAGGUAUAAUUUCUACUUUGUCUUGAAGUUUG